GACCAACUGUCCUGGUUUGCCUGGGACUGUGGGGUUUCCCAGGAUGUGGGACUUUCAGUGCUGAAACCAGGAAAGU
rnacentral:miRNA from 1 species